rnacentral:rRNA from 1 species
CCUACGGGCGGCAGCAGUGAGGAAUAUUGGUCAAUGGACGGAAGUCUGAACCAGCCAUGCCGCGUGAAGGAAGACGGCUCUAUGGGUUGUAAACUGCUUUUGUACGGGAGUAAACCUGACUACGUGUGUUAUUCUGUAGGUCCUAUACGAAUAAGGCUCGGCUAACUCCGUGCCAGCAUCCGCGGUAAUACGGAGGAUCCGAGCGUUAUCCGGAUUUAUUGGGUUUAAAGGGGGCGUAGGUGGAUUGAUAAGUUAGUGGUGAAAUUUUCGGGCUUAACUCGGGAACUGCCUCUAAAACUGUCGAUCUUGAGAGUAGAAGAGGUAGGCGGAA